rnacentral:rRNA from 1 species
UACGUAGGGGGCAAGCGUUAUCCGGAUUUACUGGGUGUAAAGGGAGCGUAGACGGCAAGGCAAGUCUGGAGUGACAGCCCGUGGCCCAACCACGGGACUGCUCUGGAAACUGUGUUGCUGGAGUGCAGGAGGGGUAAGCGGAAUUCCUAGUGUAGCGGUGAAAUGCUUAGAUAUCAGGAGGAACAUCGGUGGCGUAAGCGCUUUACUGGGCCGUAAUUGACGCUGAGGAACGAAAGCCAGGGUAGCAAAUGGG